UACGUAGGCAGCGAGCGUUGUUCGGAAUUAUUGGGCGUAAAGGGCGCGUAGGCGGUGCGGUAAGUCUGCAGUGAAAUCUCUGGGCUCAACUCAGAGUCUGCUGUGGAAACUGCUGUGCUUGAGUGUGGGAGAGGCGCGUGGAAUUGCAGGUGUAGCGGUGAAAUGCGUAGAUAUCUGCAGGAACACCCGUGGCGAAAGCGGCGCGCUGGACCACUACUGACGCUGAGGAACGAAAGCUAGGGGAGCAAACAGG
rnacentral:rRNA from 1 species